rnacentral:rRNA from 1 species
CAGCCGCCGCGGGAAUACGUAGGUGGCAAGCGUUGUCCGGAAUUAUUGGGCGUAAAGGGCUCGCAGGCGGUUUCUUAAGUCUGAUGUGAAAGCCCCCGGCUCAACCGGGGAGGGUCAUUGGAAACUGGGAAACUUGAGUGCAGAAGAGGAGAGUGGAAUUCCACGUGUAGCGGUGAAAUGCGUAGAGAUGUGGAGGAACACCAGUGGCGAAGGCGACUCUCUGGUCUGUAACUGACGCUGAGGAGCAAAAGCGUGGGGAGCGUACAGGAUUAGAUACCCGGGUAGUCCCUGUCUCUUAUAC